ACGCUGAGAGAAUAAUAAUUCUUGUUUUAUUUAUGUGUUUAUGAUGUACUUUUAAGUCCGCCUUUAAAAAGAUGUUAAAACUUUUAGCCGAAAAAAAAAAUUACUGUAACUCGCCUUAAAUACUUACUUAUGGGCUGCACUUUGAUUUGUAUUUCCCUUGAGGAAGGGUUAGGGCUAACCUACAGGUAAGUCCUAGACAACGGUAUACAAGCUUUAUAAAGUAAGGGGUGUUUACUUGGUGGUUGUCAAUUAUAUGGUAAGUUCCCCUAAAAUCUUCACUCAGCCGCCAUAAUAUUUAAGUUUGGGCCUAAUAAUAAGCAUUAAUUCUUGUUUUAGUAAUUUUAAUAUCCAUAUAACUGGGUAUCUAAUCCAGGUUUAAUCUGUGGAGUUUAGCAUUUAUAAAAUAUAGUUAGAGCUUUAGUAUUAAUAGUAUUUCACUACGUAUAAAAUUUUUUUAUAUAUUUGAACUAAUAACAAUAACUGUAAGUUUGUCUAUUAGGUCUGACCGCGGUUGCUGGCACCUAAUAAACCUAGACUAAACAAAUAGCUAAAUUUAAAUUUCUUUAAUUUAUUAAUACUUUUAACUGAGAAGUUAUUUAUAUCUCAUAUUAGACUAAAUUGUAUACUUACAGUUCCAACAUAUUAAAAUGAUUUGGUCUAAGGGGGUAUAUACCAUUUUAGA
rnacentral:rRNA from 1 species